UAAAAAUUACCACAAAUUAAUAACAAUUGCUAAUACAUGUAGAAAUGGUCAUCUCCAUAUGCUAGUAAUUAAGGAACACAAUCACAUGAGCAUGGAUUUUCCUUUCUCAGGCUUCAGGGUCAAGAAUAGAUUUCCUCAACGCCUACCAGAGCCACAAACUCAGUUCUGUCAACCUCUAAGGAGUGACCUGCAGAAACUGUAAGCUAUCUAGCUAGGCAUUGAGAGUUUUGCAUAUGGCUAAUAUCUAUUAUAAUAAUAUCCAAACCAUAGCUGCAAUUAUUAAUAAUACAUUCCAGAGAUGACUAUCUACAUACAGUCACAUUUCUUUUUUGUCUGGGUUUCAAGGGAAUUAUUACCUAAGUGCCCCCAUGAGUAUGUCCUUGUUGUUUCGAGAGAGGCUUCCACAUGCACCAAUAUGCAAGCACACACAGAAAAGCUAAAUGCAGAUCUGUAAUAUCUAAGAGAGGAAAAAAGAGUAUUGGCCGUUAAAUAAUUCAAAAAACAAGUUUGCGCUCCUAGAAACUCAGGAACAUAAGAUGGGUGUAUCAUCUUCAUAGCCAUUAGUGGAGAAGCCGAUAGAUAGAUGCGCACAACCACUAUGUACAGUCGCAUAAUGCCAAAUAGUCAACUGGGGUUACAGGGCAGGUUGCAUUUAGUGGAGAUAAACUUUGAUCAGUAUAAUGGCCAUAUGGAACAUCGAGAUAGAUGGGUCCAAGUCUGAUAGAAAUCCCAUCUGUACCAGUACGAGACAUUAAGCCCGUCUAAUGAAAGCCCCUGCCUAAACAUAAAUGCAGAAUAUGUACAACCACAAAGACCUAGAACUCGCGUGUUCUUGUAUAAGGGAAA
rnacentral:misc_RNA from 1 species